ensembl:lncRNA
CUCCCCUGUGAAAGGACAAUUUUUUUGGUUGCAUUUUCUCCUUAAAAGGCCGUUCUGCUCCUAAAUGCUGCUUUCUCGUGGUGUCAUCUCACCCUAUAGAGCAAUGCAGGGUCCUUCUUCCAUCCCCUGUGAGCACUGUGGAGCAGGGAGGGAGGUGCCAUUGUCAUCACCUUGGGACAUGUGCAGCAUCCUCUGGGGGUGCUCCAUGGAUUGGUUUCUCUGCCUCCUCCCACCUCGCCAGUCUGACUCCUGCUGGGUGCUGGAUUGGUUCGCCUUUCCGCAGACCAAAGCUACUCAGCGGUGUGCAAAUCAUAGAAUCAUUUCAUUUCAAAGGGAUCAUUAAAAGUCAUCCUGUCCAACUCAAACGGUUUGAAGCCCAUUCCCAAACCAACUACAAAGAUCUGCUCCUUGAGCACCUUCCCAAUGGAGAUGGACUCUUCCGUGCCCACCCAAAGCCCGUUGCAUGCGGCAGAGCGGCUCCUCUGAACUCUGGGGUGGGAGCGGCCCCUUUUUGGGGGUCCUCAGCUCACAGCAAGAAAGAUACACGAAGAAAAACUCCUUUCAUAAAUCACACAACAAAGAGAGGAAACAUAGAAAGCAGAGGGGGUAUUCUCCUGUUUCUCGAGGAGCAGAAGAGGAAUGGGGAAGGCAGCGUCGUUAAAGUGAAAUCCCUGACUGGAAUGAAAAAAGGCAAAGAAAUUAAAGCCAGAUUUGUUCCCCUGGGCUGGAGGAAGGAGGAUCCCUUUUGGUUUGUUCCUCCUUUCUUGUUUCCUUUAAAGACAGGAGAUCAAUUGCGGGGCUUAAUGAGAACCGUCUAUGGCGAGAGGUAGGCAGUGCAGAGUGGGGCCGACCCAGCACUGCAAGCAUCGCUCUCUGUUCCCAUCCCUUACAGCCACUUGAGGAACACUGUGGAUUAUGACCACCAUCCGUCCUCCCUGCUCCAUGGGUGCGAUUGACACGGAUAAAAUCCCUGAGCUCCAACUGAUGGGGUCAAGCGGAGCUGGAGCAGCUCCAGAUUUGUUGCAGUCCUACUGAUGGUUAGGGGAGAUGGUCCAGAGUGCUGUGCCUACCUGGGUUCUGGAUGCAGGAGUCUGGGGGCACAGAUUUCAUAGAAUCAUUAAGGCUGGAAAAGGCCUCUAACAUCACCAAGCCCAACCCCAACCCAUCCCACCAUGCCCACUGACCACGUCCCUCAGUGCCACAUCUCAACAGUUCUUGAACACCUGCAGCAGUGACUCUACUACUCUCUGGGCAGCUGUGCCAGUGCCUGAUCAUUCUUUUGGAGACGAUUUUUUUUCUAAUAUUCAACCUGAACCUCUGUUGGCACAACUUGAGGCCAUCACGUCUCCUACGGGCCUUGGGGACACCCCAUGCAUACAGGAGCUAAGCAGGAUUCACUGGAGUGCUAUUGGGAUGUCCCCUUGGGGAGGUCCUGAUGGGGACAUCCCAGAAGGCUCUCUCCCUUGAGAUGGGAGAUGCUGGCAGGAGAAGAAGCAAUGGAUCUGCCCUUUGCUUGUGAAUCUCAUGCCAAAAUAGGUGCCUCCAUUUCCCCUAAAAUGGGUAUCCAUCUUUUUGGCUUGCCUGGACCAUGCUGAAUGAAAAGAAAUUGUCUUGCUCCAUGUAUGUUUGAGGAACAUGCUUAGUGGGCACGGUGGUGACAGGUUGAUGGUUGGACUUAGAGGUCGUUUCAUGACUUAACAAUUCUAUGAUAUAACAUAUAUAAUAUAGGUAAUGCAUAUAAGUAACAAAGCCUCAAAACAAAAAAAAAGAGGGUAACAAAACCAUAAAGCUAGCAGGUUGGAGGCAUUUAAAACCCUGUUUCAAUCGAGAGGAGACACACAGGUGCUGGCUCACACCGUAAUGUUAACCACUUCUUUCCCACGCUGCUUACCAGCAGGUACACUUCACCCAGGACUCCAAAAAUAUGUUGUAAAGGUUUCUCUGGUGCCUCAGCACCCCGGACUGAAGCACUGGCACAGGUUGCUCAGAGAGGUGGUGGUGCCCCAUUCCCGGAGACACACAAGGUCAGGCUGGAUGGGGCUGUGAGCAUCUGAUGGAGCUGUGGGUGUCCCUGUUCACUGCAGGGAGUGGGACCAGAUGGCCUUUAAGGGUCCCUUCCAACUCAAACCAUUCUAUGAUUCUAUGGUUCUAUGAUUCUUCCUAGAGAAGCUGUGGAUGCCCCAUCCCUGAAGGUGUUCAAGGUCAGGUUGGAUGGACGUCUGGACAUCCUGAUCUGGUGGAUGGCAACCAGCCCUUGGUAGGAGCAUUGGAACUGGAUGAACUUUGAGGCCCCUUCCAAUCCAAGCCAUCCAUGAUUCUGUGACUUGGGAGCACCUUCCUGGGAACUCAGCAGUCCUAAAUGCAGACUAGAGAAACUGGACAGAGGGAGAUGGAGAAAUACUUAGAGCCAGCGUUUCCCCAUAAAUGAGUCACCGGUGUAUGCUGUGAACACAAGUGUGGCCCUCGUGAUCCGUUUUCAUUGCAGAACCAAAGAAACAGACCAAAAGGUCCAGGCUGCAGUGGGGUUGAUGCAUUUUUGCAUGAAAACAAGCAGAGAUGCAGAGCUUCAUCCCAUGUGUCCUUGGGAGAAGUGGACAAUUCCCCAGAUUUCCCCAGUGCCAAAAUAUCACUUUUGAAGAAUGUUUUCUUCCUCUUCCCCACUACCUCUCCUCUCUCACAACCUCCCCUCCUGUUUUCUGGUCCUGGAGGUGCUGAAGAGAACAUCAUCCCUUCCUCCCAUGUUGCUGGAAGGAAGCAGAACGUAUAAUGCUAAAUUGUGAUGGGGGGGAAAGAAAAAGGUGAUCAAUGGAAUUCACUUUUUUUUGGGGGGGUGGGGGGGCUGGGAAGAGCAUCCUACAGCUCUGUGCACUGAGCACCCAGGGUCCAGGUAGUGGAAAUAACUCUGCAGCAAAAGGGUGGCCCCAUCCCAGGGUAUUUUCCUUUAUUUCAGGCUCCUCAGCUUGGAGAGGCGUGAAUGCAGCAGGUGGGGAGGUGUGGGGUGAGGGGGGCAUCCCUCCUCUUGGGUGGGUGCCCAAAUUGUCGGGUGCUCCGACCACCAGCAACACACCACUGCCGAAUCAGGGAUGAGUUCUGCCAUAGGGCCACAAAUAAUAUACAUAUAUAUAGAGAGAAAGACAAACGGAAAGAAAACGGGCCACCAUCCUGGAUUUUGAGCAAAAAUAACAAAGAAAAAAAAUAUAUAAAGAGAAUGGAAAGAAAUGGAGCUUUUCUAGAAAGCCCAAUUUCUAGAAAAACUCCUGCACCCAGGGAGACAAUGAGCCCCACGCGGCGCUUCCUCCCAUUCCUGCAGCGGAUGUGUUUCUCAUUUGGGCUUUGUUUUGUUUUCUUUCUUUUCAUUUCCCCCUCCCUUUCCCCUUUCCCCGCUCUGCCCAGCGGGAUGCAGCCAAUGGCCCCAAUGGACAGACAACGGAUGGACAACGGGACGCGGCCGCUUGGUUCCAUGAGCAACACGAGUUUUGGAAGAGCGUGCCCUCCACGCCGCGGUGUUUUGCAUUAAAAGGUCCGGGGUACGGAUAGUGUUGCAGCAGCAUCUUCAAAGUCUCAUGGCUUUCAAACACAGCCGUGCACACAUGAGCCCCUCCCUCGCGGCCGUCCCUGUCUCGCAUUACGCUGGCAUUUUCUUUGGGGAUGAACAGGGGAGAGACUCCGGCGUAGUUUAUUUUCCUUCCGAGCAGGGAGGAGAGAACGCGCAAAAUGCUCCUAAUGGAGCAAAGCGAGCAAGAGGAGCCCAAAGGCGCGGUUGUGUAUUUCCGUAGCCACCGUCUAUAAUAAAGCCUGGAGCCGGCCCAAGCCGCGUCUCUAUUCCUUGGGUGUGCACAAAAAGGGGAAUAUCGAGAUGAUCUCGUUUCUGUCUCUCUCCAGUCUCAUAUCGAACAAAGGGCGGAUGGGAACAAGAAAGGAAGGGAAAAAAGCAUCACCUGUUCCCAUACAGUCUUAGCGAGAUCGCGGUCAUUAUCUCGGCAGCCUCACAUUUCUAAAGGGGCUUCGUUUGUCUUUUCAAACACUGGCAUCUUGUUAAAAAGCAGAGGGGAAAUGGCCGAUUUGCUCCGUUCCCCCCCAAAAUGAGCGGCGGUGCCACGGCCGCCCCCGCAGCCCCAACUUUAACACCUGGGAAAAGAAAGUGGGAAGGAAACCAAAGGCACCCAAAGAGAAAUAAAGGCGCCGCGGCCGAAGGGCCCCAACCCCGCUUCUCCCGAUGGCGUUCCUCCAUCUGACAAAAGCCUUUGGUUUUCUGUCAUUCUUUUCAUUUCCUUGAUGGCUCCCCAAUUGUCCAAGCCUUCAAGAAAACGCACUUUGGCUCUUUUGUCGCCACGCGUAAUUUGAUAAACUCGCCGCAGAAACAUUCGGGUUUGGUGGUGGGGGGGGGGGGAGAAAGGAGGGGGGAAAGGAGGGAAAAAAAAAAAAGAAAAAAGAAAAAAGCAAGGAAAAAAAAGAGAAAAAUAGAGUAAAAAAACAACGCCCGAGAGAUGGAGAGGAGGUGAUAUUUGAGAGAGUAUUUAAGGGAAAAAAGUGUGGAAUGAGGAGCGUGUUGUGGAAGGGAGGCGCGGAGCGGAGGGGUCCCGGCGGGCGCUCGGGGGGCACAGAGGACGCUCUCCGUUGUCAUCCUCCCUUCGGUGCUUCUGAAUACCGAUGUCAGGCAGCACCCUGUGGGCGGGGACCACCCCCAGCUCCCUUUGCUAUAAAGCACUGCGGGUUCCCCCGUUGCGGGGAGCGCAGCGGGACGGGGCGGCGGGCAGCACCCCGAAUCGGGCCGGGCUUCCAGGUGCGGGCCGAAGGUGCGGACGGCGGAGGAGAAAGGAGGAGAAAGAAGAAGGAGGAGGAGGAGGAGGAGGAGGAGGAUGAGGCCGAGGAGAGCGGCGUGACCGAGCGGCGGGCUGCGGGCCAAGGCUCGCACGCUCCAACGCCG